UGCAAUAACGGAGUGUUCUCUCUCCGAAAUCCUACCUCAGGGUCUUCACAGCAACCCUGUGAGAGAGGAAGCACCACAAAUAAUAAAUUACUUUUUCUGCAGAAGGGGAAACGGAACCGUGAGACAGGGAGUCCUUGCCUGAGGUUGCGUAGGAAGUAGAGACCACACUGAUUUACAGGUCGGAGGUCUCCUAACUGGGUUCUACUCUUCUCACCUGCGCCCUCCUCAUCUAGGUCUGUUCACGUCUCAACAGCCACGCCCCAGACCUCAGUCUAGGUCCUAAGGCCGUCCUAGUGCACGAGUUACAUAUCCCCUGGUCUCAGACGGGCAAACGAGCGCAAAGAGUGACAACGAUGUGGCAGAGAUGGAGUUGAAAGAAGGAGAGCUAGUGGAAAGUAUGUACCAGGAAUAGGUAGAUCCUGAGAUCCUGAGGCUUCCUUACUGACAUGCGGACACAUGGUGGCUGUCAGCUAGGACCUCUGUGGGAACUAUCAGCUGGAACACAUUUACAUAGCCUCUCCCUGUGGCCUGAGCUUCCUCACAGCACAGCAGCUGGGUUUCGAAGUUGAGUAUCCCAAGAAAUAGACUGAUAGAAGCUGCAUGGCCUCUUCUCACUUAGCCUUGGAAGUUACAGAGUGUAACCACAGACGAUGAAGCGUUACUCUUGAGGAUUUAACAAGGAAGGAGAAAGAAAGACCCACAUUUCUGGGUGAAGUCUUUGCCCCUCUAUGUGGAAAAGUGGAUUGCGACUGUUCUCAAGUCUCAGCUCAGACAAGAAUCAAGACAUAUACACAUCGGGCUUCCCUGGUGGCACAGUGGUUGAGAAUCUGUCUGCCAAUGCAGAGGACAUGGGUUCAAGCCCUGGUCUGGGAAAAAUCCCACAUGCUGUGGAGCAGCUAAGCCCGUGCGCCACAACUACUGAGCCUGCACUCUAGAACCCACAAGCCACAACUCCUGAGCCCACGUGCCACAACUACUGAAGGCCGCGCACCCAGAGUCCAUGCUCUGCAACAAGAGAAGUCACCGCAAUGAGAAGCCCAUGCACUGCAACGAAGAGUAGUCCCUGCUCACCGCAA